UACGAAGGGGGCUAGCGUUGCUCGGAAUUACUGGGCGUAAAGCGCACGUAGGCGGUCUUUUAAGUCGGAGGUGAAAUCCUGGAGCUCAACUCCAGAACUGCCUUCGAUACUGGAAGACUUGAGUCCGGGAGAGGUGAGUGGAACUGCGAGUGUAGAGGUGAAAUUCGUAGAUAUUCGCAAGAACACCAGUGGCGAAGGCGGCUCACUGGCCCGGUACUGACGCUGAGGUGCGAAAGCGUGGGGAGCAAACAGG
rnacentral:rRNA from 1 species